rnacentral:rRNA from 1 species
CGAACGGGUGAGUAAUACAUCGGAACGUGUCCGCUCGUGGGGGACAACCAGCCGAAAGGUUGGCUAAUACCGCAUGAGUUCUACGGAAGAAAGAGGGGGACCCGCAAGGGCCUCUCGCGAGCGGAGCGGCCGAUGACUGAUUAGCCGGUUGGUGAGGUAACGGCUCACCAAAGCAACGAUCAGUAGCUGGUCUGAGAGGACGACCAGCCACACUGGGACUGAGACACGGCCCAGACUCCUACGGGAGGCAGCAG